GUACUCUGAUUUCUCUUCAUAACGCAUAAAUCUUUUGCCUUUUACUAAAGAUUUCCGUGGAGAGGAUCAGAUCAAUAAGAGUUUAGUGUCUAUUUUUUAUUUGCCCUACAUUUGUAGGGUG